UACAGAGGUCUCAAGCGUUGUUCGGAUUCAUUGGGCGUAAAGGGUGCGUAGGUGGCGGGGUUAGUCAGGUGUGAAAUCUCGGGGCUCAACCCCGAAACUGCACUUGAUACUGCCUUGCUAGAGUACUGGAGAGGAGAUUGGAAUUUACGGUGUAGCAGUGAAAUGCGUAGAUAUCGUAAGGAAGACCAGUGGCGAAGGCGGGUCUCUGGACAGUUCCUGACGCUGAGGCACGAAGGCCAGGGGAGCAAACGGG
rnacentral:rRNA from 1 species